rnacentral:rRNA from 1 species
UACGUAGGGGGCAAGCGUUGUCCGGAAUCAUUGGGCGUAAAGCGCGUGUAGGCGGUCCGGUAAGUCCGCUGUGAAAGUCGGGGGCUCAACCCUCGGAUGCCGGUGGAUACUGUCGGGCUUGAGUACGGAAGAGGCGAGUGGAAUUCCUGGUGUAGCGGUGAAAUGCGCAGAUAUCGGGAAGAACACCAAAGGCGAAAGCACUUUGCUGGGCCGAAACUGACACUGAUAGACGAAAGCUAGGGGAGCAAAUGGG